rnacentral:rRNA from 1 species
GGGUUGUGAGGUUAAGCGACCAAGCGUACACGGUGGAUGCCCUGGCAGUCAGAGGCGAUGAAGGACGUGCUAAUCUGCGAAAAGCGCCGGUAAGGUGAUAUGAACCGUUAUAACCGGCGAUGUCCGAAUGGGGAAACCCAGUGUGACUCGUCACACUAUCAUUAACUGAAUCCAUAGGUUAAUGAGGCGAA